CCCUUAGAUGUUCUGGGCCGCACGCGCGCUACACUGACGUUGGCAACGAGUUUUUCCUUCGCCGAAAGGUGUGGGUAAUCUUUUGAAACAUCGUCGUGCUGGGGAUAGAUCAUUGCAAUUUUUGAUCUUGAACGAGGAAUUCCUAGUAAGCGCGAGUCAUCAGCUCGCGUUGAUUACGUCCCUGCCCUUUGUACACACCGCCCGUCGCUACUACCGAUUGAAUGGUUUAGUGAGGACUCCUGAUUGGCGCCGCCGCCCCGGCAACGGAGCAGCGGACUGCCGAAAAGUUGUUCAAACUUGAUCAUUUAGAGGAAGUAAAAGUCGUAACA
rnacentral:rRNA from 1 species